CAGCAGCCGCGGGAAUACGGAGGGUGCAAGCGUUAUUCGGAAUUACUGGGCGUAAAGCGCACGCAGGCGGUUUGUUAAGUCAGAUGUGAAAUCCCCGAGCUUAACUUGGGAACUGCAUUUGAAACUGGCAAGCUAGAGUCUUGUAGAGGGGGGUAGAAUUCCAGGUGUAGCGGUGAAAUGCGUAGAGAUCUGGAGGAAUACCGGUGGCGAAGGCGGCCCCCUGGACAAAGACUGACGCUCAGGUGCGAAAGCGUGGGGAGCAAACAGGAUUAGAUACCCCAGUAGUCCCUGUCUCUUAUAU
rnacentral:rRNA from 1 species